UAGGGAAUCUUCGGCAAUGGACGGAAGUCUGACCGAACAACGCCGCGUGAGUGAAGAAGGUUUUCGGAUCGUAAAGCUCUGUUGUAAGAGAAGAACGAGUGUGAGAGUGGAAAGUUCACACUGUGACGGUAUCUUACCAGAAAGGGACGGCUAACUACGUGCCAGCAGCCGCGGUAAUACGUAGGUCCCGAGCGUUGUCCGGAUUUAUUGGGCGUAAAGCGAGCGCAGGCGGUUAGAUAAGUCUGAAGUUAAAGGCUGUGGCUUAACCAUAGUAGGCUUUGGAAACUGUUUAACUUGAGUGCAAGAGGGGAGAGUGGAAUUCCAUGUGUAGCGGUGAAAUGCGUAGAUAUAUGGAGGAACACCGGUGGCGAAAGCGGCUCUCUGGCUUGUAACUGACGCUGAGGCUCGAAAGCGUGGGGAGCAAACAGGAUUAGAUACCCUGGUAGUCCACGCUGUAAACGAUGAGUGCUAGGUGUUAGACCCUUUCCGGGGUUUAGUGCCGUAGCUAACGCAUUAAGCACUCCGCCUGGGGAGUACGACCGCAAGGUUG
rnacentral:rRNA from 1 species